rnacentral:rRNA from 1 species
UACAGAGGGUGCAAGCGUUGUUCGGAGUUAUUGGGCGUAAAGCGCGUGUAGGCGGCUUAGCAAGUCGGGCGUGAAAGCCCUCGGCUCAACCGAGGAAGUGCACCCGAAACUGCUGAGCUUGAGUGCCGGAGAGGAUGGCGGAAUACCCCAAGUAGAGGUGAAAUUCGUAGAUAUGGGGUGGAACACCGGUGGCGAAGGCGGCCAUCUGGACGGUAACUGACGCUGAGACGCGAAAGCGUGGGUAGCAAACAGG